UGUGAGCUUCGAUGGUCAGUCUGCUCCUGAUAGAAUCUCUGCCAAGGCAGGGGUAAAGGAGUUGAGAAGAAUUGCACCCUUGAGAAGGUGGAAACUUGUGGAGACUGAUGCUGAUUUAUCGAAAUUGGAUUUUGAAACAAAGCACGUCAUGUCACUAAUAAAUCCUGCAAAUACUUACAUGGACCUUAACAUAGGAAUAGCUUUAUGGCUGGC